CCAGACUCCUACGGGAGGCAGCAGUGGGGAAUAUUGCACAAUGGGGGAAACCCUGAUGCAGCGACGCCGCGUGAGUGAAGAAGUAUUUCGGUAUGUAAAGCUCUAUCAGCAGGGAAGAUAAUGACGGUACCUGACUAAGAAGCCCCGGCUAACUACGUGCCAGCAGCCGCGGUAAUACGUAGGGGGCAAGCGUUAUCCGGAUUUACUGGGUGUAAAGGGUGCGCAGGUGGCAGGGCAAGUCAGAUGUGAAAGCCCGGGGCUCAACCCCGGUAUUGCAUUUGAAACUGUCCGGCUAGAGUGCAGGAGAGGUAAGCGGAAUUCCUAGUGUAGCGGUGAAAUGCGUAGAUAUUAGGAGGAACACCAGUGGCGAAGGCGGCUUGCUGGACCGUAACUGACGUUGAGGCUCGAAAGCGUGGGGAGCAAACAGGAUUAGAUACCCGGGUAC
rnacentral:rRNA from 1 species